rnacentral:rRNA from 1 species
GGGCCCGCACAAGCGGUGGAGCAUGUGGUUUAAUUCGAUGAUACGCGAGGAACCUUACCAGGGCUUAAAUGCAGUUGGACAGGUCUGGAAACAGACCCUUCUUCGGACUAAUUGCAAGGUGCUGCAUGGUUGUCGUCAGCUCGUGCCGUGAGGUGUCAGGUUAAGUCCUAUAACGAGCGCAACCCCUGUGGUUAGUUGCCAGCACAUAAUGGUGGGGACUCUAGAGAGACUGCCGGUGCAAACCGUGAGGAAGGUGGGGAUGACGUCAAAUCAUCACGGCCCUUACGUCCUGGGCUACACACGUGCUACAAUGGUAGGGACAGAGAGCAGCCACUUCGCGAGAAGGAGCGAAAUCUACAAACCCUAUCUCAGUUCGGAUCGCAGUCUGCAACUCGACUGCGUGAAGCUGGAAUCGCUAGUAAUCG